UCUUUUCCUCUCUUAUUUCUCAAUUAUUUCUUGCUUUAUUUUGUACCCAUUUUGACUGUAACUGUCUACUAGAACUUGAAAUUCUGUUGUGGUUCCUUUAGCUGUUUAUAACUAUACGUGUGUGUAUGUACUCUCCGGUAUCAUUCUGUUGGAUAUACCGGUUAAUAGUACUUUAUUUAUUAAAUUUUUCGAAUAAUCGUUUCGAAGGUUUCUUGUGCGGAGGUUUUGUGGGUUCUCUCUGUAAUGAAUCUCUGAUGCUAAAUUUUCGCACUUGGCAGCUGUUUCUUUCUGUAUUGAUGAUUUCUGUAUCUGGGUUUUGGGUUAUUUGGUGAAUACCAUAUUUUCUUGUGUUAGGGCAUGCCCGGAAAGUUGGGAUUCCACACAUUGAUAGAUAAUCGGAUGCCAAUAUUGAUUUGUUGCUAAAGCUUCAAAUUCAUGGACAGUCAAGGAAAUGGGAAUUUAUGAUCAUAGAAGGAGAUAAAGCUCAUUAAAUCGUGCAAAGAAUUUCGGAAAUACUAUGGAUAUACAGAUUGGAUCAAAAGGUUUGAUAAAAAGACAUGAAUUUGUAAGAGUUAUAAUUCAGAGUCUUUAUUCUUUGGGUUAUAGAAAGUCUGCAUCUUGUUUGGAAUCAGAAUCUGGGAUUUCGUAUAAAUCUGUGGAUUUUGAAUUGAUGGAGUCACAAAUCCUUGAAGGAAAUUGGAAUGGCUGUAUUAAUACCCUUAGUGCAAUAAAGGAGUUGGUGGAUGAGACGCGAGCUUCAGCUUUGUUCCUUGUGUUUAAGCAAUUUUUGCUAGAGUGCUUAAGUUGUGGGAAUGACUCAAUGGCUCUGUCUGUAUUGCGGAAACAGGCUCCUGCAUUACAACUAGGCAGGGAAAAUAUCCGGAAUCUUGCUUUUAGUCUCCUUUGCUUGAAGGAGAUGGACCUUGGUAACAAAGAUGAAAAUUUCAUUUUUGAGCUGCGAAAAAGGUUGCUGAUGGAGUUGGAAAAAUUGCUUCCUCCUCCACUAGUGCUGCCUGAAAGAAGGCUGGAACAUUUAGUUGAAACUACUGUCACAGCUCAAGUCGAUUCAUGUACGUAUCAUAAUUCACCGGAGGCAGUUUCACUUUAUGAGGACCAUUGCUGUACAAGAGAACAGAUUCCUACAGAGACCGUCCAGAUUUUGACUCAGCAUGAGAAUGAGGUCUGGUUUGUACAGUUCUCUAAUAAUGGGGAGUACCUAGCCUCUUCAUCGAGUGAUUGCACAGCCAUCAUAUGGAAGGUACUAGAAGAUGGGAAGCUGACAUUUCAGCGCACAUUGCGAAGCCACCAAAACCCAGUAUCCUUUGUGGCAUGGAGCCCUGAUGAUACAAAGUUGUUAACAUGUGGAAAUUUGGAAGUGCUCAAGUUGUGGGAUGUGGAAACAGGUACAUGCAAGCAUACAUUUGGGGAUCAUAGCUUCAUUGUUAGCUCAUGUGCUUGGUUUCCCGACUCAAAGCGACUUGUGUGUGGCAGUUCCGACCCUGAGAAGGGCAUUUGCAUGUGGGACUCUGAUGGGAACGAGAUAAAAGCAUGGAGGGGCACGAGGAUGCCUAAGGUUUUGGAUCUUGCUGUGACACCAGAUGGGGAACAUCUCAUCAGUGUAUUUUCUGAUAAGGACAUUCGGAUAUUCAAUUUGGUGACAAAUGCUGAAAGAGUCAUCUCUGAGGAGCACCCAAUCACCUCCCUGUCAGUUUCCAUUGAUAGCAAGUACUUUAUAGUCAAUCUUAACAGCCAAGAGAUUCAUUUGUGGGAUGUGGCUGGAAAACAGAAGGCAUUAAAAUAUAUGGGCCACAAACAGCACAAGUAUGUCAUACGUUCCUGCUUUGGUGGAUUGAAUAGCUCAUUUAUUGCCAGUGGCAGUGAGAAUUCACAGGUGUACAUUUGGAACAGGCGAAUACCUAUGCCGAUCGAGGUCUUAUCUGGCCAUUUAAUGACGGUGAACUGUGUGAGCUGGAACCCUAGAAGGCAUCAAAUGCUGGCUUCGGCAAGUGAUGAUCAUACGAUCCGUAUAUGGGGACCCAGACCCAGCCAAUCCAAGAAUAUUACUACCUGAGAAGCUCAUUUGAAGAAACAAAGUAAUAAGCUUUUGAUCCUUGAAUGUAUAGCACAUAUUAUCAUCAAUUUGUUAUUCUUUUAUAGGUUUUGCAAAUAGGUGGCUUCUUCUUGUUGCCCCCUUCUCAGUUUUGGAGCAGGUCUGUCCCCUCUGUAAAUGUAUAUCUGCAUUCCACUCACUCACACUGUAGGCAUCUUGCAACUCUUAUUUUCAUUAGACCUUUUGAAAAGGUACGUGCAAUAAAUAUUCAAGAACGUCAUUUUUAUAUAAACAUGGGAUGUUAUGUUUUUUUUUUUUUUUUUGUUUCAGGUGGUAACUUGGAUCAACUCAGUUUUACCCUUUUAUCUAGUGGCUGUGGCGCCAUGUGCCCGUCUAAGUAAGGAAGUUUAGGAGUUUAAUUGAGCCAAUUUACAGUGUAGGGACCUAAUUGAACUUUUUUUGCUGAAUUCAGACGCUAAAUUAGUUUUUAUUCAACCAUUAAAUCGAAUUUUAAUUAAGUUUUAAAA